rnacentral:rRNA from 1 species
ACGAACGCUGGCGGCGCGCUUAACACAUGCAAGUCGAACGGAAAGGCCUGCUUUCCCUUGUGGAUUGCGGGUACUCGAGUGGCGAACGGGUGAGUAACACGUGAGUGAUCUGCCCCCAACUUGGGUAUAAGCCUGGGAAACUGGGUCUAAUUCCCGAUAGGACUGCAGGGUGGUGCCUGUGGUGGAAAACGAUUUUCUAGUGGUUGGGGAUGAGCUCGCGGCCUAUCAGCUUGUUGGUGGGGUAAUGGCCUACCAAGGCGGCGACGGGUAGCCGGCCUGAGAGGGUGGACGGCCACAUUGGGACUGAGAUACGGCCCAGACUCCUACGGGAGGCAGCAGUGGGGAAUAUUGCACAAUGGGCGGAAGCCUGAUGCAGCGACGCCGCGUGGGGGAUGACGGACUUCGGGUUGUAAACUCCUUUCGACCGCGAGGAAGCCACCUGGUUGGAAGGGUGGUGACGGUAGUGGUAGAAGAAGCACCGGCUAACUACGUG